ensembl:lncRNA
GAAUUCACUCAGUCCUGUCCGACUCUUAGCGACCCCAUGGACUGCAGCCCACCAGGCUCCUCCAUCCAUGGAUUUUCCAGGCAAGAAUACUGGAGUGGGUUGCCAUUUCCUUCUCCAAUGCAUGAAAGUGAAAAGUGAAAGUGAAGUCGCUCAGUCGUGCCCAACUCUUACUGACCCCAUGGACUGCAGCCUAAGCUGACAUCAAAGUGCAGAGUACCUCAUGAGAAUAAGAUGCUGAAGAAUCAAGGUCUUUUGACCUGUGUCCUUGACUCCAAGGCAGUAGCCCUCCAACCCAGGCACCUGGGUGCCUGUGACCUGUUUGCUGGGAACGCCACUGGUGAUCUCUGGAGCCCCCACACCAUGCUGUUCGUAAUGUUGUCUACUGCUCUGGCACCUCUUGUUGGGGCUCAACUUCUCUAUCCCUGCAGCUUCUGAGCUGUGUGACAUGGGCGGGGGACGUCAACUUUCUGAGCCCAAGUUGCCUCUUCUGGAAAGUGGGAGUCGUGCCGUCUUGCUUGCAGGGUGGUG